AUGCCUACUCCUUUGACUUCUUUCUCUGAAUCUGUCUCUUCACUGGAACCUAGAACUAUCUUCAUCUCUCCCUCUAUGCCUCCUAUGCCUUCACACUCAUCUCUACCUCCCCCUAUAUCUACUCUAAAACAUUCCCCACUCUCUUGUUCUGUACCUAUGUCCAAAUAUAAACCUAUUAAUAGACUCUUUCCAUCUAGCUCUAAAUCUGCUUUGUUCCUAUCUGCGUCUAAUCUUCAAAUUAACCCUAAAUGUCCAGUUCACAGCAAAUGGAUAUCGCAAUCUAUGUCAGAAUGUCCCACUUUCUGUCCCAUCUCUGAAUCUACACCUAUGGGGCCAACUCCAUUUGUUUGUGCACCUUUGCAUAGGGCUCCCUCUAACUGUAUCAUUUCUUCUCUUAGUCCGAAAUCUAUUCCUGUCUCUAAAGCCUCUACAGUGACAACUGUGACCCCACCAAAAACUACCUGUGCUUCUCUCCCUGUGUUUCCCUGUAAUUGUGUCUGUAUUUCUACCUCGACAUCUACACUUCUGCCAGAACCUGCCGAUCCCCCAUCUAACUGUGUAGUUGUCAAUGGAAAUCCCUGUAAUUGUGUCUGUUCCUCUACUACAACAUCUAUACUCAACCCAGAAUCAACUGCGCCCAACUCUACCCAUACCAAUGAGAAUCCCUGUAAUUGCGUCUGUAACUCUACUUCAACAUCUACACUCAACCCAUCAGUUGCGCCCAACUCUGCCCACGCCAAAGAGAAUCUCUGUAACUGUGUCUGUACCUCUACUUCAACGUCCACACUUUUGCCCCAAUCUUCACCUGCCUCUAAUGGUGCAUUUUUCACUAGGGAUCGCUGUAAUUGUGUCUGUGCCUCUACUUCAACACCUACGUUCUUCCCCAUGUCUUCCCCCUCUACAUCCACCCCCAAAGAUCCCUGUGUCCUUUUCCCUGGGUUUCCCCUUAAUUGCACCUGUGCUGCUACUUCUACCUCUAACCUCGUUCCCAAAUUGAAUACAAACAAAGCUACAUCUAUCUGUGCAUUAUUCCCUGGGACUACCACUAAUUGUAUCAGUAACUUGGCAUCUCUGCUUAGCCCCUUAUCGCCUAUAACCAGAUCUACAUCUAUGAGUGCAUCAUUCCCUGGGAAUCCCCCUCCUUUUGAUGAUGCUUCCCCCAUACCUACCCUUAACCCCAAAGCUGAUAAAGCUUCAUUUCCCUUUGAAUUCCCAGGGUUUCAUCCUAAAUGUAUUUGUAAUUUUAAUUUACCAGCUGCACUUAACCCCAAAACUGUUCAAGACACUUCAUGUGCAGUAUCCCCUGGGAAUUCCUCCAAUGCUAUCAAUAACUCAACAUCAACAUCGACCCUUAGUCCUACAUUUAAUCGAGCUACAUCUACUAGUGCAUUAUUCCCCGAGAAUCCCGUUAAUUGUGUCUGUAGCUCUACAUCGACAUCGACUCUUAGCCCCCAUUUUAAUCGAGCUACAUCUACCUGUUUGUUAUCGGAUGUGAAUUCUGCUAUUUGUAUCAAUACUUCUACCUCCACAUCGACACUUAACCCUCAAUUUAAUCGAGCUACAUCUACUUGUGCAUUAGCCCCUGAGAAUGCUGCCGUUUGUGAAAGUAAUUCUACCCUGGCAUCUGACAUUAACCCCCCAUCUCCUCCUCUAACCCGGGCAUCAUUUCCCGGGAGCCCCACCGAACGUACCUGUGCCUCUAAUUCGGCAACUACAUUUAACCUCAAAAAUCCUCUAGCAUCCAGAACUGCAUCUACUAAUGAAUUCUCUCCUGGGGUUCCCGAUAAUGAUUUCACUAACCCUACCUCAAAGUCUCCACUUGGCUCCAAAUCUAGUCCUCUCUCCAGAGCUUCAGCUAGCCGUAUAUUAUUCCCUGAACAUCAUAAUAUUCCCCCGGAGGAACCUACAGUCUGCCCAAAAUCUACUUCUAGUGCCUCAACCACUAAGGUUGGGACUACACCUAAAUAUAUCAGUCCACUUUUCCCAGGUUUUCCCUUUAAUGGCCCUGCUGCCCUGUUAGCUAAAAUCUUCUCAAGAUCGAAUCCACCUAGAGUCACACCUACAGGUCCCUGCUGCGUACCUCUACGUAUUCAUCCCUCCAAUGAAAACUCAGGCUCUACCUCGGCUAAACCUAAUCAAAAUUGUGAGCCUAAUCUAUCAUCCCUUAAAAAUAUAACAGACUGUAAAUUUUUUGGUUCUAAACUCUCUUUAUCUGGGCAGAAAUCUCCUCCUCUCUCUAAAUUAACCACUAAAACUCAGCCUAUAUCUAUACCCCGCUGUACAUCUUUAGGAACUUCUACCUCUACACCUUUUUACACAGAUAUAUCUCCAACUUCAAGCAACUGUGACUUGCCACCUACAUGCCCAACUUCAUCUUCACCUGCCCCUUUCUGUCUCUAUGACUCUGACUCUACCCCUGCCCCUUCUCCACUCCCAGAACGUAAUUUCAUAGCACUCUCCUCUGAUGAACUCUCUGAGGUUGACACUCCACCUUUCUCAUCAUCUCCCUGA
ensembl:lncRNA